GACGAACGCUGGCGGCGUGCUUAACACAUGCAAGUCGAACGGAAAGGCCCUGCUUUUGUGGGGUGCUCGAGUGGCGAACGGGUGAGUAACACGUGAGUAACCUGCCCUUGACUUUGGGAUAACUUCAGGAAACUGGGGCUAAUACCGGAUAGGAGCUCCUGCUGCAUGGUGGGGGUUGGAAAGUUUCGGCGGUUGGGGAUGGACUCGCGGCUUAUCAGCUUGUUGGUGGGGUAGUGGCUUACCAAGGCUUUGACGGGUAGCCGGCCCGAGAGGGUGACCGGCCGCAUUGGGACUGAGAUACGGCCCAGACUCCUACGGGAGGCAGCAGUGGGGAAUAUUGCACAAUGGGCGGAAGCCUGAUGCAGCAACGCCGCGUGCGGGAUGACGGCCUUCGGGUUGUAAACCGCUUUCGCCUGUGACGAAGCGUGAGUGACGGUAAUGGGUAAAGAAGCACCGGCUAACUACGUG
rnacentral:rRNA from 1 species